rnacentral:rRNA from 1 species
GACGAACGCUGGCGGCGUGCCUAAUACAUGCAAGUUGAGCGCUGAAGGUUGGUACUUGUACCAACUGGAUGAGCAGCGAACGGGUGAGUAACGCGUGGGGAGUCUGCCUUUGAGCGGGGGACAACAUUUGGAAACGAAUGCUAAUACCGCAUAAAAACUUUAAACACAAGUUUUAAGUUUGAAAGAUGCAAUUGCAUCACUCAAAGAUGAUCCCGCGUUGUAUUAGCUAGUUGGUGAGGUAAAGGCUCACCAAGGCGAUGAUACAUAGCCGACCUGAGAGGGUGAUCGGCCACAUUGGGACUGAGACACGGCCCAAACUCCUACGGGAGGCAGCAGUAGGGAAUCUUCGGCAAUAGACGAAAGUCUGACCGAGCAACGCCGCGUGAGUGAAGAAGGUUUUCGGAUCGUAAAACUCUGUUGGUAGAGAAGAACGUUGGUGAGAGUGGAAAGCUCAUCAAGUGACGGUAACUACCCAGAAAGGGACGGCUAACUACGUG